UACGGAGGGUGCGAGCGUUAAUCGGAAUUACUGGGCGUAAAGCGCGCGUAGGCGGUUUGUUAAGUCAGCUGUGAAAGCCCCGGGCUCAACCUGGGAACUGCAGUUGAUACUGUCCAACUAGAGUACGAGAGAGGGAGGUAGAAUUCCAUGUGUAGCGGUGAAAUGCGUAGAUAUAUGGAGGAAUACCAGUGGCGAAGGCGGCCUCCUGGCUCGAUACUGACGCUGAGGUGCGAAAGCGUGGGGAUCAAACAGG
rnacentral:rRNA from 1 species